rnacentral:lncRNA from 10 species
AAAAACACAACAAACCCCACACACCCCACUCCAGCUCCGGAGCACCCGUGCUGGGCUGCAUGGGGACUGGCCGGAGGGGCAGGGCCAGGGGAGCGGGUAGGCAGAGCUUCGGGAGGAGAUGAGGUGAAAGUAAUUGACGCUGCCCAGCCCGGCAGUGGGAGAGGCAGGGGAUGCGUCAGUGUCGCGCUGGAGCUGGCAGAGGUGUGAAUGAGCGGCGGAGACACGCGGGCUGCGAUCGCUCGCCCCAGGAUGGCCGCGGCUCAUGGACCUGUGGCCCCCUCUUCCCCAGAACAGACAGCAGUGCUGAGAUACCAAGAGUGGAAGUGGCUUGCCCAGGGCUCUACUGGAGGAGCGGGCCCUAGAGCACCAGGGCUCUCACCUGCACCGGUGUCCCGCCUCUGCCAAGCCCAGGGCUGAGUGGGAGAUCUGGAUUCUGCCCUCGGAGCUGAGCAGCCUUAAUUCCAGGGGCUCAGCCAGAGCAGUAAAUAAGCCAAGCAGAGGGCUGUGU